UGCAGUUAAAAGUGAUUCAUCCUGAUCAUCAACUAUGUUUUUCUUUCCUCAGGUUUCAACUGUCCACAAUUAAAGGCAAUAAAUUAGAGAGAAAACAAGGAAGAGCUGCAGCAGAACUCUGGAGGUAAAGGUGAGGUACUGGGUGUGGGCUGGUGGCUGCUGGAGUUAGGGACUUCCCAGCCAGGGCUCUCUGGCUUUUAUUUGACAGCUGAGGCAGAGAAACUUCAAUACUGCAGAAAGGUCAGUCAAAACAAAGAAGACAGUUUUCUCCUUUUCAGUGCAGAACAAGACUCUGCAUUCUGGCAGAUAAAGACAGGGCACAAUGUAUAUUGUUGUAAUUAUAUAAAGUAAAUAGUGUCUGACUUCUUUCUAAUUUGUUCCUAGAAAAAAUGUAGAAGUCUUGCUGAAGCUACUUGAAAUUGAGGUGGGAAAUGAGCUAAAGUAAAAUGUUUCUAACCAGGAUUUACAGAGCUGAGUAAAUGAGAAAAUGUUUUUCUGUAAACUUCAGCAGAACCUGCAUUAGGUAAAUCAGUUCCAGUUCCACAGCAAAGAGGGGACAGCUGAGCCCACAGUAACAAGUACUUCGUAGUAAAAAAUACUAAAUUUGCUUUUUAAAUACAUAUGGUUUGAAAACAAAACCAGCCUAUAAAUAAAUGGCCAUAUGCUUUAUCUACUAGUCUAAUUCAGCUUUUUGACAAUUGCUUGGUGUUUUCUGUGAGUACAAAGUGUAGUUACAGUCUCUGUAGCAUUUACAGGGUCUGGUGACCUUCAGAUUCUUUGAGGAGCUGUCCUUGUCCCCAGGACAGAGCUGGCUGGCCUGAGCAGCAACCUGGGCUUUUUCUAUGCAGGCUGCAGCUUUCCUGGCUGCCCCAGGAUGGUGUUUCCACUGAGAUGGAUCAACUGGAUUUGAAAAGGGCAUUUGCCUGAUGGUGGCCUUUGCCAUGGAAUUGUCUCACCACACCCAGGAGCUCCUGCUCUGAGCCCUGUCCCUCCUUAAGGAGUUCCUGUGCUGUGCCAUGGAGUGGGGGAAACACAGCUUGGUCUGAGCUGUGGGGAACCCCAGCCCUGGUGGGAGCCCAAGGAGCAGCUGCACCCAGACCCCUGCACAGAUUGCCUGAGGGCUGGCUGAAGAACAGGAGCUAGUCAAGAACAGCUGAAGUCCACAGAGGGAUAGCAUCCCACUCCUCCGAGGGAAAAGUGAGUCCUUAAUGUUUUCCCAGCCUUCCUCACUAUCAGACUGAACCUUUUCUUGGAUGCAGAAGAGCAGAAAGUAAAGCAGUUUUAGUGGUUUGUGAACUCCUUGGAGCAGCUCUGAGGGCUCAGAGGUUUCUCUCAUUCCUAAAAGAAACAAGCAGCUUGUUAGAAGAAAUACACAAACCUGUUUCUGUUAUGAAACAGAACUACCUCCCAUAAAGCAUCUCAUUUAAUUACCUACUUGUUUUCUCUUGUACAGUGUCCAAGGGGACCCGUGAGCCUCUGUACCAAACACUUUACUUUUUCAUUUCUCUAUUGCUGUUUCAUUGCUUGACAUUUCACUAGGUUGCAAUGCACCUGGGUGAAGUUUAGGGAUCAGUAAUAAAACUCUGCUCUUUCCCAGUGCCCUGAGACUUCUGCUUUUUUGAUCCUGCUGCAGGCAAGGAUCAUGCCAGGUGUGUUACCUGCAUCUGCUCAGGCUGUCACAGAACUGUCCCCUGGCUGUGUCCCCCCGUGGUUGUGUCCAGGUGCUGCUGUGACCUUGUGCCUGCAGCCACCACCACCCCUGCUUGGCCACCGUGCCAUUUCUCCAGCCUUUACCUUGUAGCCAAACUUGGCACCACGAGCCCUGCCUGUAACAGAAAUAGUUUCUGCAGCCCUGUUUUCUAUUUUUACUCUGAAUCACUCCUUAAAAUGUCACCACUCUUCUGCAUUCCUGGGUUUGUCACUGCCCUGGCUCAGGGUGAGUUUCAGGGAUGUGGUGCUUUGUGUGUUUUAGUAAUGGCUUGGAGUCAUUAGUGCUGCUAAUGCAGAGGAGCACAUUCCUCCCAAAUCCCUGCUCACCCAGAGCACAGCAGGCACAGUCCCUGCCUACCUGCCCAGUACAGCAACACCCCGGGGCCGGUGUUAGAGCAGCGCUGAUGCUUUUGUUCCGGGCAAUUACGUGCCAAAGAAAACAACAAAAGGUUUUAUUUGUACCACACCCACCAAUUACUGCCUGCUCCAAGAGCCAGGACAGUUCCCUGGCUGCAGUCACUUUGCUUUUUGCAGUUAAAUUACCACGAGGGCAUCACUGAGCUCUCAGUUUGGGUAACACUUGCUUUGAAGUUAAAUUGAACACUUGGGGAUUGCAGAGCAACAGUCCAUCUCCAGGUAAACUUACAUGUUUCCAGAUCUCUCCAGUCCUCUCAAUUACAAUCGUUUGUGAUUUAUUGACCGGUGAUGUGACCUUGUAGUCAUCAGACAGGAGACCCAGAAUAGGAUACUGAUUCCUGUACCUGUAGAGAGUUGAACAGGUUGUUUAACAGAGCCUAAACAAAGGAAAGCCCAAAUGAUGUCUUUUUUAAAAAGGUGAAUAACACGUUACUUUUUAGUGAUGAUGGCUGUCACCCCAGGGGACUGGCUGCCUGAAAACUUGUCAUGCUUCAGUCUGAAGAGCUCCUGACAAAACCAAAAGCAAACACUGAUGUCAAGUCAUGUUUUUUGAAGUAUCAGUUCACUAAAGCCACAACAAAAUAUUUGCAGAAAUUUGUCUCAACAGUCUGAAAAUCUGCCCUUCCAGAAGGCUGGCAGAGAAACAGCAUUCAGGUAGAACAAAUCCUAACCCCCUUUCCUGAGCCAGGAGAGGACAAGGAACUUCCUGGUAAGGUUCCACCUACACAGUACCAUGGAGGCUCAAACACAAAAACCCUUAGAGAAAUAACUUGUAUUAUUUUACCUCUUGCUGUUGUUUAAUAAAAGCCUCUUUGUCCUCCAGCAGCGAUGUCAGUUCGUGCAGCCUCAUUUGCAAGUCGCUGUUGCUCCCCUCUCUCCUGGUUAUGUCCUGCUGGAACUGGCACAGCUGGGACUGCAGAACAAGGCAGGAGCUCUCAGGUGUGGGGGGCUCUGGGCAGGGCCCCUCAGCACCCACCCAAGGCUCUGGGGGUGGCAUUUCAUUAACACCAUCAACAGUGAGACACAGGGGUUUUCAGGUCAGGAAGUUGAGCCACACAGUAAAUUCAGAAAAUGCUAAUUGGACUGAAUUCUACCCAGUAUUAAUGUAAUGAUUUUACAAUUCUCAAGCUAAACCAACACUGAAUCAGUUGAAUUGGCGUCCAGAGUUGGAGACUUUUACCACUGAUUUCCAUGAGAGACAUUUCCUACAUACAGCUGUGACUGGGAUUUAUUUUUGUUUCCUAUUAAGCAUAUUUUGACUAAUUUCUUAUGUUUUCAGGACACACAAAAUAUCCCUUUAGGACAGCCCAUCCUUUAGGAUCAACCACUAACCAGGUUGAUCCCUAAUUUCUUCAUGUAAAGAACAGUUGGAUUUUUUUUAAAUCACAGUUUUAUGUUCUACUAUAAAGGUUUUUAACCAUCACCAGUGUCUAUGAGUAAAGUAACUGCACAGCCAGAAGACAGCCAAAAAGUGCCUGUGGAAGAUCUCUGCUGCUCCAAGUGCAGGAGCAGCUGUCCCUGCACACAGCCAGCAGAGCCCCUCACCCUGAGGCUGCGGAUCUCCCUGUCCUUGUCCUCCCUGAGGUUGUUGAUCAUCUCCACGUAGCGGCUGGACAGCUCGUCCGUCGUGGUCUGCAGCGUCGGGCUGGAGCAGCUCUGCACAAAGAGCCCAGUUUUAGUUUACAAAAAAUGCUUCCAUUGUUAGUUUUCUUACACUGAUCCCUCUGAGUCUGGGACUCAGAGGGGACUGAGCCCUCACCUGCAGCUUGAGGCUCUGGAUCUCCUGCUCCAGGGCCCUCUUGCUGUACUCCAGCUCCUUCAGCUGGCAGUCCUUGUCCCCCUCGCUGAGCCGCAGGGACAGGAGCUGCUCCUCCAGCGAGCGGCAUUUGGCAGUGCUGUCCCUGAGCCCUUGCUGCAAAGCACAGGGGGAAUGAGCACCUGCAGUUCCUCAGGGGAGGAACAGCAUCACACACACAGCAGGCAGCAGUUACUCAGAGUACCCAGAAGUCAGCAAAUUGCCCCCAUUUUGGCUGCCUGGAAUGACACUGGAAAUGUUUCUCGAUUUACCUGCUGCUGACGGUUGUUCUCCCUCAGAGAGGCCAGCAUUGCUUCAUAUUCUUUCACUUGGCAAUCCUUAAAAGCCAAAUCCUUCUUCAGCAAGACAUUGUCAGUUUCCAGCUUCUGCAGGACAAAAGUCAAAAGUUUACAGUCAAAAGCUGCAAUUUUUCAGUCAAGUCUUCCCAUAAAGUGCCACACAGUCAUUAAUAAAGGGAUGGUUUAGAACUGAGAGAAUGCUUAACUUCCUUGAAAGUUUGGGGUUUAGGUACAUAGCACACACUGUAGUGCCUGUGGCUUUGUGCUGGGUGGUGAGCACUGGGAUCCUGGACACUGCCCUUCCACUCUGCCCCAGAAACAAUGGGGCAAUAGAAUAAAACAAAAACCACCCCAAAACUGCACACAUUCCUUGUUCUGUGCUCAAGUUCAAACUCUUCUCCUUCAACUUUGCAUUUUCCAAGACAAUGCUGUGACAUUCCCAGCAGUGCUGAGCACCUGUGGAGCUGCCACAGCCACCCCUGUCCAUCGAGCCUCCUGAGGCACUGACAGAGCAGCCACUGGCACCAGCACAGGCACAGCCUGGAGUGCCAGCUCUGGGAGCAGCUGGAUGAGGAGGAUGAGGAGCAGCACUCACCCCCAGGUCAUCCUGCAGGUGGCAGAGCUCCUCCCGCAGGUUCUUGAAGGUGGAAAGCACAAGUCUCAGGGAUUUGUCCGAUGUUGCUCUCAUCUGGGAGGGGAGAAAUGAAAAGGAUAAUUGGGAUUAAUUAGGCAGCUUUGUUUACAAUAUGCCUGACAAGAGGUAGAACAGAAACUGCUUUACAGCUGACAGUAACUUCUGAAACCAUUGCACGUCCUUUGAAGUGCCCACAGUUUCUACAGGAAACAUUUUCCUUGCACUUUGUUCUGCAAAUGCCAGUGUUCAGUUUCUGCUUUGUAACACAGCACAGCAUUGUUAAAAUGGAAGGAACAACAGGGUAAGAACUGCCUUUGUGCACCAAUAAAGGGAAAAAUAAAUGUGUUAAUAUUGUACAAUUAUUAUUUGAGCUUUAAAAGCUUUGUGCUCACACUGAUUUUUAAAAAUUACUGCCCUGCCUGAAAAGGCACAGAGGAAUGAGUCAUGUUUGAGAUCUGGCAAAGCUUUGGGCUCAAGGAUGAAGAAAUUUAAUUAACAUUUUUAAAAAUUUAAAUUAAAAAAGCUCAUACAGCCAACUCCUCCCUUUAAAAGGAAAAAGAUCCCAAAGAUGAAAGGAGUCACCUGGAUGAAAGAGAAAACCAUAAGUGACCACAGCCCAACACUGUUCUCCUUUGGAAUGUUAAUUUUAAUGCCUUUAAUACCUGUGUAUUGAUUCAGGUGAAAAUAUAAAUUGUUGCAUUUCAUGAUACAUUUAUAAUAUUCAAAAGAAGAAAAAUAGACUUUGAAAGGACACACAAAACAACUCCUCAAGCUGUAACGCUCCUGGAAGGGCUGAAUAAUCUGUGCAAAAGCUGUGGUUUUUUCCUGUCCAGACAGAAGUGAAACCCUCCUGUGUGUUCCCUUAACUUGGAGCUCUCAUGCUCUCUGUCCAUAUGGGGAUUGGCCCUUGCCCAGUUAUUUAUCCCCACUGGUGCCAUGGUCUGACUGAGACUUCAUUCCUGGUGUAACUCACCUUUCUGUUUGUUUUGUCAUUAAAGUGGAAUUUCACUUUUGCCUUAUGGUUCUGUUGCUUUUAUUGUGUAAUACACUACAGAUUGAGUUUAAAAGAAGGAAUUGAGUCAAAUGGUGAAAUUUAGACUAUAAAAAUAUAAGUAAAACCCCACUCAGCAAUUGCUUAGUGCUAGAGCUUCCUAAAUCCCAGAGGUGCCUUGUGCUUCUCUCCAGGGGAGUUCUCUGUGUCCUUAGAGGAGCCUCUGGGCAUUCCCAGCUCGGGAUCCUGGGCUGUGCAAACCCUUCCCUCCCUGCUCUGUCCUGGUGGCCAGGGGAUCUGAGGGCACCCUGGGUGGAUCCUGACAACACCUGGGUCCCCAAAAGCCAUUCUGGCUGCAUUUUAUAAUCACAGCUGUGAGGAUGUAAAACCAGCUGGACACAGACACAACAGGAAAUGCCUGUUCCAGCUUUUCACCUGGAGCUGAACCAGCCUCCCAAGGACAGUGUGCCAGUGAGAGGCCAUGGAAUGUCCUCAUGCUGGCUGGAAUGUCCGUGGGGUUGAUGUCCCUCUUCCUUGUAAGAGAAGCACAGAAUAAUUCCAGCUGGAAGGGAUGGGGAGGUCAGAGCAGGGCAGCUGUGAACUCAUACGAGGCUGCUCCUUCUCAACCUCAUUUUAAUGGAUUUCUUUUUUACCAGGAAGUGAUUCCAAGGCGCAGCUCCCAGGUAGGAUCACCCUUCCCCUACCUGAGGGAGCCCAGAUCAGGACACUCCUGCUGAGGCUGCCCUGGA